GACGAACGCUGGCGGCGUGCCUAAUACAUGCAAGUUGAGCGAUGAAGAUUGGUGCUUGCACCAAUUUGAAGAGCAGCGAACGGGUGAGUAACGCGUGGGGAAUCUGCCUUUGAGCGGGGGACAACAUUUGGAAACGAAUGCUAAUACCGCAUAACAACUUUAAACAUAAGUUUUAAGUUUGAAAGAUGCAAUUGCAUCACUCAAAGAUGAUCCCGCGUUGUAUUAGCUAGUUGGUGAGGUAAAGGCUCACCAAGGCGAUGAUACAUAGCCGACCUGAGAGGGUGAUCGGCCACAUUGGGACUGAGACCAGGCCCAAACUCCUACGGGAGGCAGCAGUAGGGAAUCUUCGGCAAUGGACGAAAGUCUGACCGAGCAACGCCGCGUGAGGGAAGAAGGUUUUCGGAUCGUAAAACUCUGUUGGUAGAGAAGAACGUGGGUGGGGGUGGAAAGCCCAUCAAGUGACGGUAACUACCCAGAAAGGGGCGGCUAACUACUU
rnacentral:rRNA from 1 species